UACAGCUUUUGAUCGAGCGAACAACCACGCUCGAGACCAUGCAUCACUAUCAGUUAUCGGUUAACCGUCAAACAGGCUGUGCUAUCGUGUACGAUAUAACUACAACCGUGAUUCCGCUUUAUUUGAUACGGUGAUAUACGGUGUUCUGAAGAUAGUAUCCAAUAAGUUAUUACAAGUGCCUGACCGGUAAUGCAGCUUUGAGGCUGACACUUAGAAUUCGCGCGUUUAAUGCAUGCUGUAAAUUCGAUCGUUGAGGAAGUCGCCAGCGUUAAAACCGAGAUAUCUUUUGUCUCUAUUGUUAUUUCUGGCCUGGUAAAUUCAACGAUGCGGGACUAAGUAAUUUGAGGUGGAGAUGAGAGAUCGACCUAUUUGUUCCUGAGCUAAAAUUGAUUGUCGC